CGUCCGUAACGUCAGUAGCAAAUACGGAAGUAGAGAUGAAAGGUUCUCCACGCAUGGAUAUAUAAUAAGAACGGCUCCACCGGGCGAUUGAAUGACGGCAUGAGUGAUUGCAGGGACUGGAGAGAGAUGAGUGAACCAUGUGAACCUUAAUUCAGUCACCAAACGUGAAAUAUAUUUGGCACGGUAGGCCUGGACAUAAACGUUAUUUGGGACACCAUUCAAAGACUUGCGAAGCUUUGUUUAGUUUUUUAUUUUAUGGGCGCGAGGCAGAGUUUGUUAUCACGAUCAUCCCCACGUGCACUGUUUAAAAGUUAGUUUUUCCUUCCAUAUCUUCCGACCGGAUGGUGAUAACCUUGGCUAUGGUUGCCAUUUAACUAUUUCCACAAAAAGACACAAAUAAAAUGGCUUUCGCAAACCUGUUCACGAGACUGUCUGCUGUGGUAGAGGAUGGCAGGAGCCCUAGCCAGGCUGCCUUUAAACACAGGGACGAGCCAGAGAAUGGAAAACGAGGCAAUGCCAGAAAGAGGAAGCCCCAGGCUGAGCAGACUGGCCCUUAUAAAAAGAAGCAAUUUCACCAAGCCCAGACACCCAGAGGUAAUCAUGCUACAUCCUUCAGAGACAAAGGCGUCAAGGCCAUGCACUACAAUAUGCAUAAGACUCAGAGUGAAAACCAAAUCACCAAAGGUCAGAAUUACAGAACUAAAAAUAACCAUAAUGGGAGGAAGCAGCAGCAGCAGCAGCAGCAGCAGAAAAAGAAGCCGGAGAGCCAGACAAAUCAGCACCAGCAGAGGGACAGAUGGACCGCUGCUAACAGAGGUGGAGGCCAUCAGUCUAGACCUGCUUGGGGAGAAGGUGGAGGAGACGGUGAAUAUAAAAAUAAUAAGCAGGAGGACCAUGUGCAACGUCCAAGGUUCAUGACUGAUGAGUUCAAGGACCACAAUGGUGUGCUGGUGAAUGGGCGCUUAGUUUGUCGACAUUUCCUCUUCGGAAGGUGCAUCAAGGGGGACACCUGUCAGCUGGAACACAUUCAGGGUUACAAUGAUGUCGUCAAAGAAGUGUGCAAAUUCUACGUCCAAGGAUCCUGCACAAAAGGAGAGAGCUGCCCAUACAUGCAUAAGUCUUUCCCCUGCAAGUUCUUCCACAGAAGAGGAAGAUGUUCUCAAGAAGAACAAUGCAGGUUCUCCCAUGAGCCCCUUAAUGACAUCACAACCAAACUGUUGGAUAAGGCAUUACAAAAGGAAAACGACCUCAGGGAACAAACUAAAAAAUCUGAACAGGAGACUUUGGGACCGACAGAAGAUUCAGAAAUUAUAGAAGCAGAGGGGACCCCAGAUAUACCCCUGCAACCACUCAAACUUUUCUUUUACAACAGCGUAGAAGCCAAUACCGAGAAGGAAACCACGUUAUGUGCGACUGAAGCACUGGCUAAUGAGGCAGCUGUCCCACCAUAUGCACCGGAAGCUGCCCAGCAUCACCCGGCCCAGUCAAGUUAUUUGAAUCCUGCGGAAGCAGUCUGUCAUUCAGUUGAAGCUGUUCUUGGACCUCAACUUUUCAAACCUUUCCCUCGCCUCUUUACUACUCCUGAAGAGUCUGGGUCUGCAAACCAAAAGGAGGUUCCUUACUCUGUGAAUGCUGUUCUCAGUGCCUGUAAAUCAACCCUUCCUAUUGUACAAACUGUAUCCUACACUCCAAAAACUGACCGCGAAGAGAUCACCUAUCCUCUGCUCAGCUCAGAAACUCCAAAUAAGAAGGUAUUGAAUUCAGAAAAUGCCAGAAAUGAAGUAAACAAAUCAGGAAUGUUCAAGAGCCUCAACGUGCACACUGGCCUGGUUUCCAAGACCUGCCCUAGUCUCACUCCGGCCUACAGGGACUACAGUCAGCAAGGUGCCUAUACGCAAAAAUCUCUGAAACCUGCUCACAGGACUGCUCAUGGAAGCACUAGUCACAAAAGCAUUUUGCCAAGACCUUCUAAUAAUUCUCCCAAACAGCCUGCACAGUUGAGGCCACAUAUCUCUGUUCUGACGCCUGAAUCACAAGCCUCAGUUAGGUCGUCACCCUCUUCAAGUUUCACCAGAUCUAAAGUUGGAUUUGCUGCUACAGUUCCACCUGUCACCAGCUCCAUUUACACAACUGAUUCUACAAAUUCUGUCUGUGGUCAUUCUGCAGCCAAACAUCUGCCCCUGCCCUCCAAAAACACUCAAUCUGGCCUCAAACGUGGCACACAUUGUUCCACUGAAAUCACAGCUGAGUGCAGCAGUAAGAUGUCACAUGGCACUGAUGUGGACGUCGGAUGUAAGAAGGCUCUGAGAAGACCCUUUCACAGCCUUUCCGAAAGCACAAUCACAGUAACAACUUCCUCUUGUCCUCAAUCUUCCCCUCCAGAGUCUGCAGAUCGUGUUAAAAGUGUGUUUGAGAUGGAAAAAGCCUCUGCCAGGUCCUUCCUCAGCCUUUUUGCUGCCCCUCUCGGUGCUGCUCAGACAGGUGAUGUAAAGACUUCCUCUGGUUCGGAAAAGACAAUUAAUAAUGAAACAAACUCCAAACAAAGCACUUUUAAAUCAAAGAAACAUCUACUAAACCAGUUUAUAAAUGCGGUCAAAGAAAUCCCUGAUGUUUCAAGAUCACCUAAUCCUAAAUUAGAAAAGAAAGACAGUUCUUUGGCGCAUAUUGAUCAGCCUACGAAGCAGAAGCUGGCUCCUGUCUGCGGCCUUGUGUCCAAUUCAACCCAUGCUCGUCAGCAGCUGCCUGCCAUCUCAUCCCACAAAGGAUCUGCAGUAGCAUCCUCUGCGAGCUCAGUUCUAAAGAAUCUCUUUCUGAGCCUAAGCCCGUACCAGCAGGAUGCAGAGCCACAGGGAGAGUGAAAAGAUGGACAAAACGGGAAAGAGGUGUGUCUUUGUGAAGCAACUUUAUGGAAAAAGAAGACUCCCAGUCCAACAGGCAACUGAAAAAUCUGUUGCCGAUCAUCAGAGCUCCAGCCAUUAAUUCCAACAUCAACUUGUAGACCAAGAAGGAAGGAGAAAAUGUUGACGUGUUGCCAAAAUCACUCAAGGACCUUCUGAGACUCCCUUGUUUUCUUAGAUCAACGUUGGAAUACUAAUAUGUGAAACCACACCUUAACAUGGAUUAAUCGUGUCUUGUGGUUACAACGUUUGGACCUUUUUUUUGAUCAUUUUAAAUUUUUUGUGCAGUCCUUAACUUAUUUUUUGUGCCCCGUCAAAAGUGUAAGGGUUGAACAUUAAAAUAUUUUAAACAUG